rnacentral:lncRNA from 1 species
GUUCUGAUCACUACUGACUUGUUGGCUCAUGGGAUUGAGGUGCAACAAGUGUCUUUGGUUGUAAACUAUGAUCUACCUACCAAUCUUGAAAACUAUAUUCACAGAAUUGGCAGAGGGGGCAGAUUUGGGAGGAAAGGUGUGGCUAUAAACUUUGUUAUUGAAGAAGAGAAUAGGAUUCUUUGUGACACAGAGACUUUCUACAAUAUACAGAGGAGGAAAUGUCCAGAGUGUGGCUGACCAUAUUUAAUUCCUGGGAUGAAAUAUAUUUGAAUGCAGUGCUCUCUGUUGCUGAAUAGGUGAUCACAGCUUCUUUGGGAAUAUUUGAAUCUUGUCUUAAUGCUCAUAAUAGAUCAGAAAUACAGAUUUUGACAGCAAAGCGACAUUAGUUGUGAGCUCUUGUGAGGAAAGUCAUUGGCUUUAUCCUCUUUAGAGUUAGACUGUUGGGGUGGGUAUAAAAGAUGGGGGUCUGUAAAAUCUUUCCUUCUUAGAAAUUUAUUUCCUAAUUCUAUAGAAAUGGUUGUAUUAGAUAUUAUCUAUAAUUUAAUAAUAUACUUGUGGAUUAAAAGAUAUAAGUGCUGUAUAAAAUCAGCCAAUUAAGUUAAACUAGCAUAUCUCCUUUUAUUAUGUUUGUCAUUAGCCUGAAUAGAAAGGCAUUUAAAAUUGUUUUAGAAAACAUUUGAAUUCAUUUUUUUUGAUAUUGUAUUUAUUUAAUAAAGUAUUUAAUUAGUGCUAAAGUGAGAACUGAAGCCCUAGCAAGCAAUCAUAAACUAGUCAGGGUGAAACCCCCAGUAAAAUUGCCAUAUUGCACAUAUCUUAAUGAAGUUUGAAUGUUAAAUUCACUUUAAAA